GUUGGAUAAUACGCGAAAGCCUGAUCCAGUCAUGCCACGUGUGUAAAGAAGGUCUUUGUAUUGUAAAGUAAUUUAUGUUAGGAGGAAAGGUUGUGGAUUAAUACACUACAAUUUUGACGUUACCACCCGAAUAAGCACAGCCUAACUUAUUCCCAGUAGCCGCGGUAAUACGAAGGGUGCAAGCGUUAAUCGGAAUUACUGGGCGUAAAGCGCGCGUAGGUGGUUCAGUAAGAUGGGUGUGAAAUCCCCGGGCUUAACCUGGGAACUGCUUUCAUAACUGCUGAGCUAGAGUAUGGCAGAGGGUGGUAGAAUUUCAGGUGUAGCGGUGAAAUGCGUAGAUAUAGGAAGGAACGCCAGUGGCGAAGGCGACCACCUGGGCUAAUACUGACACUGAGGUGCGAAAGCGUGGGGAGCAAAC
rnacentral:rRNA from 1 species